rnacentral:lncRNA from 1 species
GUGUUUCAGGAUACUGCCUACGAUUUUCUGAUUCCUUCUUUAUGAUAAAAGUUCAGAUGUUCCUCUAUUUCUUAUGAUGGCUGGUUGGUAAACAGCUUACAGGAAAUCAGAACUCAUCAGAUUAAAACUUCCUGUGAAAAACAUACCAAGUUUUCUGUUCAAGGGAUCAAACUCGGGACCUUGUGCUUGCGAGGCAGGCAGUAGAAUCACUGAGCUAAAUCCCUGGCCCCUAUGCUUCUUAUUUUUAAGAGCUUAAUGUAUUCUGAAAUCACAUCUCCCAUUCCUACAUCACUUUCUUUAAGGGAGUGUCAGUGAUACCUAUUUCACAGGCAGAUCAUCACAUUGCAACAUGCCUGUAUCAGGGUAAAACAAAAAUAGAAAACAAGAUAUUCACAGAGGUUAACACUCACCAAAGGCUUACUGAAGAUUCUGGAGGGAGGAACACAGCAAUGUCAGAAAUAACUAAGAUAACAGGUGACCUUCAGUGUUGUUUUUUUACAAAGCCAGAGACAGACCUGCUCAGUAGGAUGGACGGCAAAGGCUAUCUGGUAAAGGGCUGGAAACUCACACAACAUUUGUGGGCCUUUUGUGGAAGAGGCUGAUGGUUGGUAGAUA